rnacentral:rRNA from 1 species
UCGGGAAUUUUGGGCAAUGGGCGAAAGCCUGACCCAGCAACGCCGCGUGAAGGAUGAAGUAUUUCGGUAUGUAAACUUCGAAAGAAUAGGAAGAAUAAAUGACGGUACUAUUUAUAAGGUCCGGCUAACUACGUGCCAGCAGCCGCGGUAAUACGUAGGGACCAAGCGUUGUUCGGAUUUACUGGGCGUAAAGGGCGCGUAGGCGGCAAUUCAAGUCAUCUGUGAAAUCUCCGGGCUUAACUCGGAACGGUCAGAUGAUACUGCUUUGCUAGAGUGCAGAAGGGGCAAUCGGAAUUCUUGGUGUAGCGGUGAAAUGCGUAGAUAUCAAGAGGAACACCUGAGGUGAAGACGGGUUGCUGGGCUGACACUGACGCUGAGGCGCGAAAGCCAGGGGGAGCAAACGGGAUUAGAUACCCGGGUAGUCCCUGAGCGGGCUGGCAAGGCGCAU